GGGCGUAUGGUGUAGUGGUAUCACUCAUGCUUUGCACGAGCGUUAUGUAAUCGUCUUACGUAAAUCUUUGUAUGCGGUCCAGGGUUCAAACCCCUGUGCGUCCA